AAGUGACCAAUCAUAGAACAAGAAAAAUCCUACAAUGAUUAUAUGUAAUUUCAAUUUUAUCUAUUUCAAUUAAUUCAAUUUAAAUUCGAGAAGUAUGUGUUAAAUAUUUCGAUAAUAAAUUGAUGACCAAUCAUGUGAUAUAUACGUAUGAUAUAUAAACCGGAAGUGAUAUCCUAUUUUCUACGAAUUUUAGAACUUACCUUAAUUAUCACUUUGCUCUUCAUACAUUUAUACGUUAGUUUUCUCUAAAUGGGCAUGUACUUAUUAUCAAUUAUACAUGAUGCAUUAAAAUGCAUAAAACAUUUAAAAUAAAUGCAUACCCGUAAACAUAGAUCUACAUUAUUGUAUGUAAUCUAAAGGAUAUUAUAAAUAAGCUAUAAGUUGUAAUACAAUGUUGGUACACUUUAUUUUUAUAAUCGUAUAAUAUUGUACAAAUUAUUACAGUAAACUAUAUAUUUCUGUAAUUAUGUCUAUGAAUGUUUCUUUGUUUUACCAACAUAGUUUGCCAUAAAAGUGGCUGUCAAGUGGUAGUUCAAUUAAAUAAUACAACCAUACAGUGUA